UACGAAGGGGGCUAGCGUUGCUCGGAAUUACUGGGCGUAAAGCGCACGUAGGCGGUCUUUUAAGUCGGGGGUGAAAUCCUGGAGCUCAACUCCAGAACUGCCUUCGAUACUGGAAGACUUGAGUCCGGGAGAGGUGAGUGGAACUGCGAGUGUAGAGGUGAAAUUCGUAGAUAUUCGCAAGAACACCAGUGGCGAAGGCGGCUCACUGGCCCGGUACUGACGCUGAGGUGGCGAAAGCGUG
rnacentral:rRNA from 1 species